ensembl:lncRNA
GAAAGAUAGCUAGCUAGCCACUAGCUAGAUAGCUAACUUAACAUUAGCCAGCAGCCACUACAUAACUUCAACGAAUUUCGACGUUAGUUUACCAAAGUGGCUGAACAGAAUUUUAAGAAGAUCAUCCAUCCAUUGUCAACCAAAUUAGCCAUUUGUGAUUUCCUUGUAACGGGGACCAAAUAGCUAUGUCCACUUACAUUCACUAAAAGUGCCUGUCGUAGUUAAUGUCCUCUAGUGAAUUCGCCUUAUUCACCUAUGGCACUUCCUUUAAACCAAAACGAGGCUGUGGGGUACGGAAGUAACGUUGGCCCGCCCAUCUGUAGACUUCUGUCAUAACGUUACCUACAAUGCCGCCGCAUUGUUGUGUUCCCAAAUGUACGUCUUCAAAGAGAAAGAAAUCCUAUACAGGUCAAACCUUCCAUCGUUUCCCCAAAGAUCCUGUACUUUGCCGGGAAUUGAUUCAUAAAAUAAGAAGAGAUCCUGGUCGCCAUUUCAAGAAAACAAUGGUAGAAAAGUGGGUAAUUGAAGAUUUUUGGGAAUGGCUUGAGGAAAUUCAUCUGAGUGACGCAAAAGAAACGUUCAGAGAACAGCAAAUUCAUGGAGAGACUUUGCUGGGCCUUACAGAGCGAAUGGUGGAGAAAUUAUUCCCUGUAAUGAAAAAACUGGUUGCAUUUCUGAGGGAAUUAGAGAAAUUAAAGAGAAGGUCAUAUUCACAACAAGGACAUCAUCAGCCAUGUGUGGGGCAACAAUGGCUGGCUGUUUUCCUUCUCCCUGAGUUUCCCCCAGAGCUCAACGAGGAUCCAUCCUUUAAAAAAAAAGAUAAGUCCCACCUGCGCUCCCUUUUAAUCCAAGUGCUGUUCGAUAACAUUACAACAUUACAAAAUUUUUGAAUACUUUUUAAAGCAAAAAAACUACAUUUUAACACUUGUUGUGGUGAGCACUGUGUAUUGCGAAGAUAAUCUGCUUUCAGGUAUCCAAGCCAUAAAAUGUAUGGAGAUGUUCUAGGCAGCUUGAAUACAAAAUAUCCCUUCUUAAAGGAUGGUAGACCCUCUGGCCAUGAUACCUUACUAGAAUGCCUAAAUACAUUUAAAAAGGAAAGGAUUACUUUGAUCCACUCAGAAACAGUUCAGUUCAUGUAGAAAAAAUAUGGGGACAAGAGAAACAUUGACCAGACAACUGGGGACCAUUUUUCAGAACAGAAGCUAGCAAAAAGAUCAAGAGAUGAGGAAAAUGUGUUCCAAACUCCCACACAAGAGGUUUGCACAUUUUUGCAGUAUAGUACAGUAUUUAUAUGUUGUUGUAUAGAUAUAUCUUUUGAUCCUUUACGGUGCUGCACAAUGUUGUUGUUUUUUAUGUUGGUGCUGGAUCUGGAAACCAUCUGAGAAGAUGAAACAAGUUUUGAGGAGCACAAUAAAACAAUCAUUGCCGAGUUACACAAAAAAGAGCCAGAUUACUAUGCAAUUAGAAAUAGAAUGAGGCAAUCUUUGUUUAAAAGAGUGGAGUACAUGGGAAGACCAACACACGAGGUGAUGGAAAUGUUUCCAUUUCU